UUGUUUUACAAAUUGGGGGAGAAGAACAAGAAGAAGUUGGUUUCGGUGGUGAUGAAGAAUACUCAACCAUGGCUGAACAGCUCAAAAGUGGCUGGUUUAGUGAUUUGUUUUAUCUAGCUCAAAAGUUUCUGAAAAGGGAAAUCCUCCUGGAAAGGUAUAAAUUUGGAACUGCAAUAAAGUUGGUUUGGGAUUCAAGACUCCUAGCUAUUAAUGUUCCGUGCAAUUUGUUUUCAUUGUAAGCCUUUUGACACCUAUGAUGCUUCCUAUCAAAUCAAAGGAAAGUCUAGUUUUCCAUGUUGGUUUUCGCCAGUUUGUUGCUAGGUUUGAAGAUGAAUAUCAUGAAGAUAGUUGCAGCAAAUUCAGGAGUAGAGAAACAAAUCGUGUGAUUCUUGAUGAUUACUUAGAAGAUUAUUACUUGACAACAGUGUAUGGAGAUUUUCUUCUUCAACAGAGGCCAUCAAUAGAGAACUGGAUAAUAGAUGCAAGUCUAGUUUGAAUCAGGUGUGAGGGAGAUCAAGUUAGAGACAGUGUUCUUAUGUGUAAGCCUCAUGGACAGUUUAAUAAGCCAAGGCUUCUUUAGAAACAAAAAGAAGCUUCAAUUGCUUGGAAUUUCUUGCCUCACCUUAGCCACAAGAAUAGAAGAAAAUCAGACGUA